rnacentral:rRNA from 1 species
UACGGAGGGUGCAAGCGUUGUUCGGAAUCAUUGGGCGUAAAGCGCGUGUAGGCGGCUUGGUAAGUCGGGUGUGAAAUCCCGGGGCUCAACCCCGGAAUUGCAUUCGAAACUGCCUCGCUGGAGUCCCGGAGAGGGUGGCGGAAUUCCCAGUGUAGAGGUGAAAUUCGUAGAUAUUGGGAAGAACACCGGCGGCGAAGGCGGCCACCUGGACGGCGACUGACGCUGAGACGCGAAAGCGUGGGGAGCAAACAGG